UAAUACCGCAUGAUGUCGCAAGACCAAAGUGGGGGACCUUCGGGCCUCACGCCAUCGGAUGUGCCCAGAUGGGAUUAGCUAGUAGGUGGGGUAAUGGCUCACCUAGGCGACGAUCCCUAGCUGGUCUGAGAGGAUGACCAGCCACACUGGAACUGAGACACGGUCCAGACUCCUACGGGAGGCAGCAGUGGGGAAUAUUGCACAAUGGGCGCAAGCCUGAUGCAGCCAUGCCGCGUGUGUGAAGAAGGCCUUAGGGUUGUAAAGCACUUUCAGCGAGGAGGAAGGCGUUGUAGUUAAUAACUGCAACGAUUGAUGUUACUUUUUAGAAGAAGCACCGGCUAACUCCGUGCCAGCAUUCGCGGUAAUACGGAGGGUGCAAGCGUUAAUCGGAAUUACUGGGCGUAAAGCGCACGCAGGCGGUUUGUUAAGUCAGAUGUGAAAUCCCCGAGCUUAACUUGGGAACUGCAUUUGAAACUGGCAAGCUAGAGUCUUGUAGAGGGGGGUAGAAUUCCAGGUGUAGCGGUGAAAUGCGUAGAGAUCUGGAGGAAUACCGGUGGCGAAGGCGGCCCCCUGGACAAAGACUGACGCUCAGGUGCGAAAGCGUGGGGAGCAAACAGGAUUAGAUACCCUGGUAGUCCACGCUGUAAACGAUGUCGACUUGGA
rnacentral:rRNA from 1 species